rnacentral:rRNA from 1 species
AGUGAACGCUGGCGGUAGGCCUAACACAUGCAAGUCGAACGGCAGCACAGUAAGAGCUUGCUCUUACGGGUGGCGAGUGGCGGACGGGUGAGGAAUACAUCGGAAUCUACUUUUUCGGGGGGGAUAACGUAGGGAAACUUACGCUAAUACCGCAUACGACCUACGGGUGAAAGCAGGGGAUCUUCGGACCUUGCGCGAUUGCAUGAGCCGAUGUUGGAUUAGCUAGUUGGCGGGGUAAAGGCCCACCAAGGCGACGAUCCGUAGCUGGUCUGAGAGGAUGAUCAGCCACACUGGAACUGAGACACGGUCCAGACUCCUACGGGAGGCAGCAGUGGGGAAUAUUGGACAAUGGGCGCAAGCCUGAUCCAGCCCUACCGCGUGGGUGAAGAAGGCCUUCGGGUUGUAAAGCCCUCUUGUUGGGAAAGAAAAGCAGCAGGUUAAUACCCCGCUGUUCUGACGGUACCCAAAGAAUAAGCACCGGCUAACUUCGUG